rnacentral:rRNA from 1 species
UACAGAGGGUGCAAGCGUUGUUCGGAAUUAUUGGGCGUAAAGCGCGUGUAGGCGGCUUAGCAAGUUGGGUGUGAAAGCCCUCGGCUUAACCAGGCGAGUGCCGGUCAGACUGCUCGGCUGGAAUGUCGGAGAGGGACGCGGAAUUCCGGGUGUAGCGGUGAAAUGUGCAGAGAUCCGGAGGAACACCAGCGCCGAAAGGGGCGUCCUGGACGAUGAUUGACGCUGAGACGCGACAGCGUGGGGAGCGAACGGG